AGUAUUUACUAUUUAAUAAUCAAUUUUUUUUUGUCAGUUGUCUAUGCCGGAUGCCCUCUAUGGUUCUGGCUUAAUAGUUUAGGAUUUUACUAUACAUUUUUUUUUGAAAUAUGAUAAUUGAAAAAUAUUCAAAAUUAAAAAAUUAAGGAAUCUAUACGCAUAUUAGUCCAAUUUUCAAAAAGGAAAUAUUCUAUAAGUUUCAAAAAUAUAUAAGAAAUUGUGUAAUUAUUUUUCAGUUUAAAAAUUGUUUAAUUUUUUUCGAAUUCUAGUUUCCAUUGUGACUUCGUUCUUCUAAAAUAACUCUUGGUUUGCCGAAUGUUACAUGAAAGGUGAUUAUGAUGAUAAAAAAUGUGCAAAACGUCUAGAAAGCUACCAAAAAUGUAUACAUGAAGGAAUGAUAGAAAAAAAAUUGGACAUUGAUGAAGUAUUAAAACCCUAUUUGGGAACUGAACGCAUGAAAUAAUGAAGAUGCAAUAUUUAAAUUCUG